UGGAACAGUACAUCAGAGAAGCUCCCAGGGCUGGUAAGGUUGCAAACAAGACCAUUGUUGUGGCAGGAACAUCCAUAUCUGGUCUGCUGGCCAAUUUUAAAUUCUUGUUUAUGCGGAGAGGCGCCGAGCCAGCUGCUAGUGUCCUCUGCUGUUGGCAGUUGU